rnacentral:rRNA from 1 species
GGAAUAUUGGUCAAUGGACGGAAGUCUGAACCAGCCAAGUCGCGUGAAGGAAGACGGUUCUAUGGAUUGUAAACUUCUUUUGCCCGAGGGUAAAGUGAGUCACGUGUGGCUUAUUGCAAGUAUCGGGUGAAUAAGCAUCGGCUAACUCCGUGCCAGCAGCCGCGGUAAUACGGAGGAUGCGAGCGUUAUCCGGAUUUAUUGGGUUUAAAGGGUGCGUAGGCGGGCUGUUAAGUCAGCGGUGAAAGUUUGCGGCUCAACCGUAAAAUUGCCGUUGAAACUGGUAGUCUUGAGUACAGACGAGGUAGGCGGAAUGUAACGUGUAGCGGUGAAAUGCUUAGAUAUGUUACAGAACUCCGAUUGCGAAGGCAGCUUACCAGGCUGUGACUGACGCUGAGGCACGAAAGCGUGGGUAUCAAACA